CAACCCUCAGGCCCCCUAGGCCUGGCGUUGGGGAUCUGCCGGGCCCGUCCCGGCAGGCCCCGAAAUAUAGUGGCGGUCCCGCUGUAGCCUCCUCUGCGUAGUAACUCACCUCGCUCUGGGACUCGGCGCGGCCAUGCCGUUAAACACCCCACUUUCUCAAGG
rnacentral:misc_RNA from 1 species